rnacentral:rRNA from 1 species
CCUACGGGAGGCAGCAGUGGGGAAUAUUGGACAAUGGAGGCAACUCUGAUCCAGCAAUGCCGCGUGUGUGACGAAGGCCCUAGGGUUGUAAAGCACUUUCAACGGUGAAGAUGAUGACGGUAGCCGUAGAAGAAGCCCCGGCUAACUUCGUGCCAGCAGCCGCGGUAAUACGAAGGGGGCGAGCGUUAUUCGGAAUUAUUGGGCGUAAAGGGCUCGCAGGCUGCUUGAACAGUUAGACGUGAAAUCCCCGGGCUCAACCUGGGAACUGCGUUUAAUACUAGCAAGCUAGAGUAAUAGAGAGGAAAGUGGAACUCCCAGUGUAGAGGUGAAAUUCGUAGAUAUUGGGAAGAACACCAGUGGCGAAAGCGACUUUCUGGCUAUUUACUGACGCCGAGGAGCGAAAGCGUGGGGAGCAAACAGGAUUAGAUACCCUGGUAGUCCACGCCGUAAACGAUGUGUGCUAGAUGUUGGAAGGAUACCUUUCAGUGUCGCAGCUAACGCACUAAGCACACCGCCUGGGAAGUACGGUCGCAAGAUUAAAACUCAAAUGAAUUGACG